CGUUUAUACAACUGGUAACGCAGUAGGUUUGCCUAUACCAGCAUCACCGCAAACGCGUGAGAAAUGCAUUGUGCAAUGACAUCACAAGGCAGUAGAAGUCUUCCAGCUCCACGAUCAUCUCAGAGGCCCACCGUUGUCUGUGCCAUCCAUCAUGGACUGAAACGUUGCUAAGCGACUCACGACUACACAAAGAAUAAGAGCCUCACUGCUUCCUUCUGUUGCCUGCUGGACCCCCCAUUGAGUGUGUGGUCAAGGGCGCACUCCACGGCCAUCACACGACCCUGGAGAGAAGCCCCCAGCUGCCGAGCAGCAGUAGGAGGAGGGCGAGGCCACAGGACGGCACGCGGGAGGCGCCAGCCGCAGAGAACACGCACAAGCCUGACGGCUGGAGCAGCACCACGUGCAUUUCCUUAAAGAACGGAGGUGCAGAUCCGGGCAGGGCGAGCUCAGGGUUGGUUAGUUCAGGAGCUCUGCGCGUCUCAGGCAGCCAGGACCCUGGGUCGAGAGAGGCUGCGAUGGUCCCACCGUCACAUUCAGAUCUGACCAUGGCCAGUGGAAGAGGAAGAGAUGUGUCCUCUUGGGCUGUUUUCUCAGGGACUAGCAAACUUUGCUCGGGCCCUGUCCACCCACGUUCCCACAAAUAUCAAUGCCAGAAUUGGGCCACACAAGCCUCCCGUGCUGGUGCCUGCGGCUGGCGGAGACAGACACGCACCACAGCAGGUGAGCACCAUGCGACUGGAGUUAAAAUGAAAACACCUUUCUUCUAGAAGCAUGAAGGAAACAUUUCAAAUGAUGACGCUUUGUGCUGCUGAUGGUGAGUGAAACAGAACUCUCCAUCCAUGGGAUGUGGGCACACGACCCAGCCCCAGCUUCCUAGAAGGCAGCGGGAUGGGUACAGGACGGGGACGCUGCCACCUGCCUUUGGCCCAGGACUCCCAUCUCUAAGAAUACAUCUUAAGGAAAGAAGUAAAGUGCAUAUGAGCAAAAAUAUUAUGUACUGAUAUGUUCAUUGCAUUAAUAUUUUAAAAAUUCAAAUAUCCAAAAUUGGAAUGCUUAUACAAAUUUUGAACUAUACAAAUAACCCAAUAUUUACAUGCUAUUACACUGAUAUUUAAGAAGAGUGUUCAUUAAAAUGAAAAACAAACUUUUACCAUUAAAUGAAAAAAAUUACAUACCGUAUAAUGUCUACACUUGAAAAAGG
rnacentral:lncRNA from 10 species